rnacentral:misc_RNA from 1 species
CACUGAGGCAAAUGACUCUGUUUGAACUGUUCCAUUUGAGAGAAAUUGUUUGCGUAAUAAUCUACUGUAAACUGACGAGCCACUCUCGUGUAUCUCGAGAAUUUUUCAAAAAAAAUGCAUGAUCUUUCUUAGCCUGAUUUCAAUCUCCAAUCUGGAAGCAGAGGGACAAGAAGAGCUGAUUUUUCAUCAUGUUUGUAUCUUAGUGUAUAGUACUCGUUCAUGGGAAUAAAUCUUGAAUGUCAAGGAUAUCAGCUAGGACACCAGCUGCUGUGGUAUCAUUUCCUGCUCCAGCACCUUGGAUAACCAAAGGUUGUUUCUCGUAACAACGGCUGUAUAUCUCCACCACAUUAUCACUUCCUCUUAAUCUUCCCAAAGCAGAAUCUUUUGGAACUUCU